UACGUAGGGUGCAAGCGUUAAUCGGAAUUACUGGGCGUAAAGCAUGCACAAGCGGUUUUGUAAGUCUGUCGUGAAAUCCCCGGGCUCAACCUGGGAAUUGCGAUAAAGACUGCAAGGCUAGAAUCUGGCAGAAAAGGGUAGAAUUCCACGUGUAGCAAUGAAAUGCGUAGAGAUGUGAAAGAACACCGAUGACGAAGACAGCCCCCUGGGUCAAGAUUGACGCUCAUGCACGAAAGCGUAAAGAACAAACAGG
rnacentral:rRNA from 1 species